UACAGAGGUCUCAAGCGUUGUUCGGAUUCAUUGGGCGUAAAGGGUGCGUAGGCGGUUUGGUAAGUCUUAUGUGAAAUCUACAGGCUCAACUUGUAGUCUGCAUGAGAAACUGCCGGGCUUGAGUAUGGGAGAGGUGAGUGGAAUUCCUGGUGUAGCGGUGAAAUGCGCAGAUAUCAGGAGGAACACCGAUGGCGAAGGCAGGUCUCUGGGCCACUACUGACGCUGAGAAGCGAAAGCAUGGGGAGCGAACAGG
rnacentral:rRNA from 1 species